GGGAUUUGAUGAGUUGUUGGAUCUCGCCAUUAUGAUGCGAGUUGGGUGUCCGCCCCAAUGGCUAUGUUACGACAUUUGGACACAUUACUUCUCACCAAUCUGAUCCC